UACGUAGGUUGCGAGCGUUGUCCGGAUUUACUGGGUGUAAAGGGCGUGUAGGCGGAGAUGCAAGUUGGGAGUGAAAUCCAUGGGCUCAACCCAUGAACUGCUUCCAAAACUGUAUCCCUUGAGUAUCGGAGAGGCAAGCGGAAUUCCUAGUGUAGCGGUGAAAUGCGUAGAUAUUAGGAGGAACACCAGUGGCGAAGGCGGCUUGCUGGACGACAACUGACGCUGAGGCGCGAAAGCGUGGGGAGCAAACAGG
rnacentral:rRNA from 1 species